rnacentral:lncRNA from 1 species
AUGCUGUCAACCUGCAAGGCGUCAGAGGGAGGGCAGCAUGGGGGACAAACGGGGAUGGGAUGCGUUUGGUGGCAAGAGGAGGUGAUGGGGAUGGCACCGCGCUGCCCCAUGCCGUGUGGGCCCUCACCAGGUGUUGCCGCUCUCAUCACUCUCCCCAAAAGCACUGUAGGAGCCGUCGCUGUGUUUGUAGAGCAGCUCUCGUUGGUAACCUGCGUGGAGAUGGGGAUGGCUACUGACACAUCUGUCUCUGGGGGGGACCCUAGAGGAUGCCCACCCCUACGUGCAGGUACUGCUGGAUGUAGAUGUUGGGGGCGAAGCGCACCAUGUUCUGCUCCCCGCAGCCGUAGGGCAUGGCCAGGAGGCGGUCCACGUUCUGCAGCGCGUUGCCCAUGAUGUCACCUGCGUGCACCCCAUACCAUCCCAUCAAUUUUGGGGCAUCCCACCUCCAGCUGAGACUUCUGCACCUCGUUUCCAUCCCUUACCCAUCACACUGACGUGAGCUCGCUGGGAGCCCUCCAAGAUGUUGGCAGGAAGCUCCAGGGACACUUCUUCAGAAGCUGCGAGGACGGAGGGUGAUGCAAUGGGGUGGCAGUGGACGUGACCCCACAGCACCCUCGUCCACCCCUUGAUGCUCCAUCCCCCUAUGGACUCCAUGGGGCAAGAAUCCCAUGCCCACAGUUCCUCCAGCUUGGUGGCCCUCAUGCCAGCAGCCCCAUGUCCCCACAGUGGUACCAGAUGCUCCUACCUUCCUGGCAGAGCAGGGAGCUGUGUGCCUUCUCCACCAGGAUUCCACCAGGCUGUAGGAAGCAACAUACGGUCAAUUCUAUGACCUCCAUGUCCACAUGUCCCCCAGGGCCAUCCCUGCAGUGACAGCUUGGCGCUGUCCCACUCCCAAGACAAUGUGGUGGGAUCUUCCCAUUGCACCCCCAGGUCUGCUCAGCCCCCAUCCCUCUUUCAUCCCUCAUAACCCGUCUGACCUGCACCAGUAGUGGCUUUAUCACAGUGUCCACACGUCCCUGGGCUGGCACCACAGGCUUCUCAUUGCCACAGAGCUCCUCAGAGCUUACAGCCUCGGUGCUGAUGGUGAUGUUCACCUCCCCUGCAAUGCCAAUGGAACAUCCAGUCACCAUAGAGCCCCCCAGUCUACACCGCAGCCCCAUGGGCUUUGAAUGGGGCUGGCUGGGUUGGGAUGGGAGGUGAUGGGGAAAGGAUAAAUGGAGCAGAGAAGAGCUUUGCAGAUGGCAUCGUUUGCUGACACCCUCCCUGUCCACCCCGCUUUGUCAGGUGUUCUCCAAGUGGCAGGGCAGGGGAUCCAUGCACCCAUACCCAGGUUGGUGGCCUUCACAUCCCACCGGAACGUCUUGGCUUCAUCCGCACAGACACAGCUGCUGUACACUGCUCCUGCAACUGCUGACACCUCCAGCUCCGCCGAGUCCGCCAGCGUCACCUGGACCUGCAGACCCCAACAACAUCAGCCACCUACCAGGGCACAGCCCCCAGCCCCCUGCUCACCUCACUCACCCGUAGACACUGCCGCAGGUAAUUGAAGACAGUGGCAACCAGCGAGAAGGCUUCACCACGGAUCACAGCAUAGGGCAGAGCCAGGUCCACGAAGAAGGGCUUGAAGACUGUGAGGGUGGUGGCAGGGGCCAGCCCCAAGCCCACAGGUGCUGUGCAGAACAUCUCAGCUUUCCAUUCCGUGAUGGCAUCGGGCACCGUCAUCACCAUCUCUGCAGAGCCCUCCUCCCUGCAUGACAGAGCAUCCAGAGGCCACCAAGUGUCACUCCCUGGUGGUAUCUGGGCUGGUUCUCUCCAUCGAGGAGGAGAAGCCACCCUAGGGGGCUCUCUCCAUUCCCACUCACCCCACAGGCACCAGGUCCCACAGCCAUGUCUCUGGGAAAUGAACCCGGGGAGCUGGUGGCUCUUCCUCGUUGCUGGGAAGUGGAGCACUAGCUAGCACGGGUAUUCCAACCCUGCUUUCCACCAUGGGCAUUUCCAUAUCUAAUGUGUCACUGGCUUUGGCUCUGCCUAGAAAUAGUAGAGCAGAAAUGAGGUUUCCAUUGGCUUCUGCCACCUAGCCCAGGGCUGGACAUCUGCAGAAGGCAGACAAAAGUAGCUAAAACCCCCUCAACCAAGAACUGAGCCAGCUUGGAAGCCCUGUCAGACAGCAUUCCCCAUCCCACCAAGAGUGGGGACACAAGCCCAGCCCCUCCUGUGUGAAGUGCUUUUUGAAGAUCAUUGAAUCAUAGAAUGGCUUAGUUUGGAAGGGACCUUAAAGAUUGCAGAACUGCGGAAUAACACUGUGGUUGGGCUGGAACGGACCUUACACAUCACAGAACCAUGGAAUCAUGGCAUGGUUGGAUUGGAAGGGAUCUUAAAGAUCACAGAACCAUGGAAUCAUGGCGUGGUUGGAUUGGAAGGGAUCUUAAAGAUCACAGAACCAUGGAAUCAUGGCAUGGUUGGAUUGGAAGGGAUCUUAAAGAUCGUAGAACCAUGGAAUCAUGGCAUGGUUGGAAUGGAAGGAAUUUUAAAGAUCAUAGUGACAUGCAGAAAAUCAAACCCUAUAGCCUGGCUAUGAAUGUCUUCUGGGCAUGCUGGCAGGAUGCUGACCUGGCACACCCCGCAUAAAGUACUGAGGUGUGUAAUACUCCUUGCAAUCAUCCCUUGUCUUAGCAUUGGUGAGAAGCUUCAGUGCUGCAUUCUGCAAAAAAAAAAAAAAGAGAGAGAGAUUGUCCAUCUCCAAAACCAGUGGGAUGAUUUUUCCCCCCUGAGCAGUGAAUGGUCGUGGGGCAUUGCUGAGCUUUCCAGGAACCCUGCACAAAUCAUGGUUGGCUCUUGGUGAUAAGGCUCAAGGCUUUACCUGAAAUAACUUGGAGGGGUUCAUGUGGAUUUCAUCCCACCAGUAAGGUGGUAAAAUAAAUCUCCUUGAACGGCGCA